AACGUAGGAGACAAACGUUAUCCGGAGUUACUGGGCGUAAAGGGCAUGUAGGUGGUAGUGUAAGUCUGGCGUGAAAUUUUUCGGCUUAACCGGGAAAGGUCGUCGGAUACUGCACAACUAGAGGACGGUAGAGGCGUGUGGAAUUCCGGGUGUAGUGGUGAAAUGCGUAGAGAUCCGGAGGAACACCAGUGGCGAAGGCGACACGCUGGGCCGUACCUGACACUGAUGCGCGACAGCAUGGGGAGCAAACAGG
rnacentral:rRNA from 1 species